UACAGAGGUGGCGAGCGUUGUUCGGAUUUACUGGGCGUAAAGGGCGCGUAGGCGGCGCCAGCAGUCGAGUGUGAAAGCCCCGGGCUCAACCUGGGAGGUGCGCUCGAUACUCUGGUGCUGGAGUUCGGGAGAGGAGCGUGGAAUUCCCAGUGUAGAGGUGAAAUUCGUAGAUAUUGGGAAGAACACCGGUGGCGAAGGCGGCGCUCUGGACCGAGACUGACGCUGAGGCGCGAAAGCGUGGGGAGCAAAC
rnacentral:rRNA from 1 species